GACGAACGCUGGCGGCGUGCUUAACACAUGCAAGUCGAACGGAAAGGCCCCUUUGGGGGUACUCGAGUGGCGAACGGGUGAGUAACACGUGAGUAACCUGCCCUUGACUUCGGGAUAACUUCAGGAAACUGGGGCUAAUACCGGAUAGGAAUCCUUGCUGCAUGGUGGGGGUUGGAAAGCUUCGGCGGUUUUGGAUGGACUCGCGGCUUAUCAGCGUGUUGGUGGGGUAGUGGCUUACCAAGGCUUUGACGGGUAGCCGGCCUGAGAGGGCGACCGGCCACAUUGGGACUGAGAUACGGCCCAGACUCCUACGGGAGGCAGCAGUGGGGAAUAUUGCACAAUGGGCGGAAGCCUGAUGCAGCAACGCCGCGGGCGGGAUGACGGCCUUCGGGUUGUAAACCGCUUUCAGCAGGGGCGAAGCUUGUGGUGACGGUACCUGCAGAAGAAGCACCGGCUAACUACGUG
rnacentral:rRNA from 1 species